rnacentral:rRNA from 1 species
UUAACGAAUCCCCUUAGAGUUUGAUCCUGGCUCAGGAUGAACGCUGGCGGCGUGCUUAACACAUGCAAGUCGAGCGAAGCACUUGAGAUUGAAUUCUUCGGAAGGAAAUUUCAUUUGACUGAGCGGCGGACGGGUGAGUAACGCGUGGGUGACCUGCCCCAUACCGGGGGAUAACAGCUGGAAACGGCUGCUAAUACCGCAUAAGCGCACGAAGCUGCAUGGCUUAGUGUGAAAAACUCCGGUGGUAUGGGAUGGGCCCGCGUCUGAUUAGGCAGUUGGCGGGGUAAGAGCCCACCAAACCGACGAUCAGUAGCCGACCUGAGAGGGCGACCGGCCACAUUGGGACUGAGACACGGCCCAAACUCCUACGGGAGGCAGCAGUGGGGAAUAUUGCACAAUGGGGGAAACCCUGAUGCAGCGACGCCGCGUGAGCGAAGAAGUAUUUCGGUAUGUAAAGCUCUAUCAGCAGGGAAGAUAAUGACGGUACCUGACUAAGAAGCCCCGGCUAACUACGUGCCAGCAGCCGCGGUAAUACGUAGGGGGCAAGCGUUAUCCGGAUUUACUGGGUGUAAAGGGAGCGUAGACGGCGAAGCAAGUCUGGUGUGAAAACCCGGGGCUCAACCCCGGGCCUGCAUUGGAAACUGUUUUGCUUGAGUGCCGGAGAGGUAAGCGGAAUUCCUAGUGUAGCGGUGAAAUGCGUAGAUAUUAGGAGGAACACCAGUGGCGAAGGCGGCUUACUGGACGGCAACUGACGUUGAGGCUCGAAAGCGUGGGGAGCAAACAGGAUUAGAUACCCUGGUAGUCCAGGGCGA